UAGGCUUCAGCAAGCUGUUGACCCUAGUGAGGAUAAGUGGUACACCGAAUGUACAGAUGGAUCAUCAUACAAAACAAAACUCAGACUGAGGUAAACUGCAGCCAGAGGCCAACCACACCAAAGCACCAGGGCCAGCCGGUGUCGGCCAUUGUCCAAGCACACUCUCUUCAAGUGCUCUCAAAUAACAACUCCAUGAUAUUGUUGGUGUAUAGGCACUCCAAGGAAAAGCUGCAAAUGAGAAUCACUGUUUGUCGAAUAAAGGUCUGUCUUUUUUGCCUGAUUCAGAAGGCAAAAUCAUCUUUUUUUCAUCCUCACCAUUUAUGAAGCCUGUGUUCCUUUGUUCCAUGUGGGCUGAGGGCUUUAUUUGACCAGUAAAAAAAAUGAUGUAUUCUAAUACUGCUACUGGAUCUGCAAAUGUGUAGGCAGGAGAGAGGAACUGUUGUUUCUGAAAGCACAAUUGAGCAUGAUACUGUAAGAUUUAACACUUUGAGAUGUGAGAUUUGUGAUUCGGUUACCA